AUUGAACGCUGGCGGCAGGCCUAACACAUGCAAGUCGAACGAGUGGCGGACGGGUGAGUAAUGCAUGGGAAUCUAGCUUAUGGAGGGGGCUAACUACGGGAAACUGUAGCUAAUACCGCUUACCAUAGGAUGAGCCCAAGUGGGAUUAGGUAGUUGGGGGGGGAAAGGCUCACCAAGCCGACGAUCCAUAGCUGGUCUGAGAGGAUGAUCGGCCACACUGGGACUGAGACACGGCCCAGACUCCUACGGGAGGCAGCAGUGGGGAAUAUUGGGCAAUGGGCGAAAGCCUGAUGCAGCCAUGCCGCGUGUGUGAAGAAGGCUUUAGGGUUGUAAAGUACUUUCAGUGGGGAGGCGGUACCUAAAGAAGAAGCACCGGCUAACUCCGUGCCAGCAGCCGCGGUAAUUC
rnacentral:rRNA from 1 species